UAUAAUUAUCUUCCCAAAAUGAAGAUGGAAAAUUUUCCCCUUUUAAGCUUUUUCUCAUGCGCCGAGGAUUGGUUCAGAUUGCAUUUGCUUCCUUCCACCGCGGCGGACGGCGAUUGGUUGAACGGGAGGGGGUUUCCUGGUUCAUCCACUAUGAUGGCAGGCACCAUAUUCUGCAAAUAAGGAAAUUAGUAAUUGAGUUUUAAUCCCAGAGUAAGUAAUUUCAUGAACAGUCCUUGGAUAUGAUUAUUUGCCAUGAAGCUGCUCAAGUUUAAGUAGCAGAUAAUUUUCUGGAGAAAUUUUGUUUUUAUGCUGAUCAAUAUUCAACUGUUACGACUUCUAUAUCUUACCCUGUUUCACUUUCCUGCACUACUUUAGUAUAAAUUUCUGUUUUUAUUAAAA